rnacentral:rRNA from 1 species
UGGAUACUGGCUUGCUGGAGUGAGAUGGAGGGAAGCGGAAUCUAACGUGUAACGGUGAAAUGUGUAGAUAUGUGGAGGAACACCGGUGGCGAAAGCGGCUUCCUGGAACUCAUCUGACGCUGAGGCGCGAAAGCUGGGGGGAGCGAACAAGAUUAGAUACCCUGGUAGCCUGGCCGUAAAACUAUGAGAACUAGUUGUGGGGUUCCUCCCUCCCUUCCGUGCCGCACCGAAAGUGUUAAUUGUUCCGCCUGGGGAGUACGGCCGCAGGGUUGAAACUCAAAGGAAUUGACGGGGGCCCGCACAAGCGGUGGAGUAUGUGGUUUAAUUCGAAGCAACGCGAAGAACCUUUACCAGGGCUUGAAAUGGAUGGAAGUCCGCUGAAAGGCGUCUGCUCUCUCUUAGACACAAGACAGGUGUGUGCUGGCUUGCCUUCAACUCGAGUCGUGGCAUGAUAGGUUGAGUUCCGCCACGAGCCGUAACCCCUACUUU